rnacentral:rRNA from 1 species
UACGUAGGGUGCGAGCGUUGUCCGGAAUCAUUGGGCGUAAAGCGCGUGUAGGCGGUUCGAUAAGUCGGCUGUGAAAGUCCAGGGCUCAACCCUGGGAUGCCGGUCGAAACUGUCGGACUAGAGUUCGGAAGAGGCGAGUGGAAUUCCCGGUGUAGCGGUGAAAUGCGCAGAUAUCGGGAGGAACACCAAUGGCGAAGGCAGCUCGCUGGGACGUUACUGACGCUGAGACGCGAAAGCGUGGGGAGCAAACAGG